AUCUAUGGCCAUACCACCCUGAAUGUGCCCGAUCUCAUCUGAUCUUGGAAACUAAGCAGAGUCAGGCUUGGUUAAAAUUGGAUGGGAGAAUAUUAUAUACAUAUUAAAUGGUAAACU
rnacentral:rRNA from 1 species